rnacentral:rRNA from 1 species
UAAAGAAUUUCGGUUAUCGAUGGGGAUGCGUUCCAUUAGUUAGUUGGCGGGGUAACGGCCCACCAAGACGACGAUGGAUAGGGGUUCUGAGAGGAAGGUCCCCCACAUUGGAACUGAGACACGGUCCAAACUCCUACGGGAGGCAGCAGUGAGGAAUAUUGGUCAAUGGACGAGAGUCUGAACCAGCCAAGUAGCGUGAAGGAUGACUGCCCUAUGGGUUGUAAACUUCUUUUAUAUGGGAAUAAAACAGGGUAUGCAUACCCUCUUGUAUGUACCAUAUGAAUAAGGAUCGGCUAACUCCGUGCCAGCAGCCGCGGUAAUACGGAGGAUCCGAGCGUUAUCCGGACUUAUUGGGUUUAAAGGGAGCGUAGGUGGAUUGUUAAGUCAGUUGUGAAAGUUUGCGGCUCAACCGUAAAAUUGCAGUUGAAACUGGCAGUCUUGAGUACAGUAGAGGUGGGCGGAAUUCGUGGUGUAGCGGUGAAAUGCUUAGAUAUCACGAAGAACUCCGAUUGCGAAGGCAGCUCACUGGACUGCAACUGACACUGAUGCUCGAAAGUGUGGGUAUCAAACAGGAUUAGAUACCCUGGUAGUCCACACAGUAAACGAUGAAUACUCGCUGUUUGCGAUAUACGGUAA